UGGUAAUGAAUGGAGGAAUUAUUUGUUUGUAUGGAGGGGGUGUUUUAAAAAUGAUCAUCUUUUUUGACC
rnacentral:rRNA from 1 species